GAUGAACGCUGGCGGCGUGCCUAAUACAUGCAAGUCGAGCGAACGGACGAGAAGCUUGCUUCUCUGAUGUUAGCGGCGGACGGGUGAGUAACACGUGGAUAACCUACCUAUAAGACUGGGAUAACUUCGGGAAACCGGAGCUAAUACCGGAUAAUAUUUUGAACCGCAUGGUUCAAAAGUGAAAGACGGUCUUGCUGUCACUUAUAGAUGGAUCCGCGCUGCAUUAGCUAGUUGGUAAGGUAACGGCUUACCAAGGCAACGAUGCAUAGCCGACCUGAGAGGGUGAUCGGCCACACUGGAACUGAGACACGGUCCAGACUCCUACGGGAGGCAGCAGUAGGGAAUCUUCCGCAAUGGGCGAAAGCCUGACGGAGCAACGCCGCGUGAGUGAUGAAGGUCUUCGGAUCGUAAAACUCUGUUAUUAGGGAAGAACAUAUGUGUAAGUAACUGUGCACAUCUUGGCGGUACCUAAUCAGAAAGCCACGGCUAACUACGUGCCAGCGGCCGCGGUAAUACGUAGGUGGCAAGCGUUAUCCGGAAUUAUUGGGCGUAAAGCGCGCGUAGGCGGUUUUUUAAGUCUGAUGUGAAAGCCCACGGCUCAACCGUGGAGGGUCAUUGGAAACUGGAAAACUUGAGUGCAGAAGAGGAAAGUGGAAUUCCAUGUGUAGCGGUGAGAUGCGCAGAGAUAUGGAGGAACACCAGUGGCGAAGGCGACUUUCUGGUCUGUAACUGACGCUGAUGUGCGAAAGCGUGGGGAUCAAACAGGAUUAGAUACCCUGGUAGUCCACGCCGUAAACGAUGAGUGCUAAGUGUUAGGGGGUUUCCGCCCCUUAGUGCUGCAGCUAACGCAUUAAGCACUCCGCCUGGGGAGUACGACCGCAAGGUUGAAACUCAAAGGAAUUGACGGGGACCCGCACAAGCGGUGGAGCAUGUGGUUUAAUUCGAAGCAACGCGAAGAACCUUACCAAAUCUUGACAUCCUUUGACAACUCUAGAGAUAGAGCCUUCCCCUUCGGGGGACAAAGUGACAGGUGGUGCAUGGUUGUCGUCAGCUCGUGUCGUGAGAUGUUGGGUUAAGUCCCGCAACGAGCGCAACCCUUAAGCUUAGUUGCCAUCAUUAAGUUGGGCACUCUAAGUUGACUGCCGGUGACAAACCGGAGGAAGGUGGGGAUGACGUCAAAUCAUCAUGCCCCUUAUGAUUUGGGCUACACACGUGCUACAAUGGACAAUACAAAGGGCAGCGAAACCGCGAGGUCAAGCAAAUCCCAUAAAGUUGUUCUCAGUUCGGAUUGUAGUCUGCAACUCGACUACAUGAAGCUGGAAUCGCUAGUAAUCGUAGAUCAGCAUGCUACGGUGAAUACGUUCCCGGGUCU
rnacentral:rRNA from 1 species